AUCGAUACGCCCCUCCCCAUCCUUCCUCCCUCGCGGCUCAACACCCGGCUCCCGCCUCCCCGCACGCCCCGCGCCCCUCCCCCUCCAUUUUGGCGCCUUUUCCUUCCCGCCACGUCGUGGCGGCGUAGAGACCAUUCUGACCGCGAGAGCCGGGGCGGGGCGUGGGCGGGGAGCGCGCCUCGUUAUGCAGAUGAGCCGGCCUCUGGUUGGCUGAAGGCGCGCCGGCGGGGGCGGGGCCGGGGCGCGGCGACGGAGCGCGAGCGGGGAGGCGGGGGGGUGCGGAGGGAGUCGCCCUGUCCCGCCGCUCCCCACCCCUCCUCCCCUGCCGGCCCGGCCGCCCGGCUUCCCCCGCCUAGGCCUCCCGGAGAGGCCCCGCCCCAUCCCCGCCCGCCCGCGCGCCCCCUCCCCGCCGGCGCGCUCCGCCCCUUUUACUCCUGGCGGCAGGGCGAGCCGGGCGUCUGCUGCAGCGGCCGCGGUGGCGGAGGAGGCCGGAGAGGACUUGGCGGCUGCGGCGGUGGCGGGACCGGCAACAGCAGCAGCAGCAGCAGCUACAGCUAUACACUCCCUGUGCCGCAGCGCUGCCACACCAGCCCCUCGAGCCGCCCACCCUGCCGCCCGCGGCGCUGCCUGACCCUGCCGGCGUGUCCGUCAGCCGCCAGCCCCGGCAGCGCCCCCAGUCGUCCUCCGACUCGCCCUCGGCCUUCCGCGCCAGCCGCAGCCGCAGCCGCAACGCCACCCGCAGCCUCAGCCCCGGCCUUAGGCACAGCCGCCGGCGCAGCCCCAGCCCCUACUGCAGUAGCUCCUCCAGACACAGCCUCUUCGCCGACACCCUGGAGGUGGGGAUGCUCUUGUCCAAAAUCAACUCGCUUGCCCACCUGCGCGCCGCGCCCUGCAGCGACCUGCACGCCACCAAGCUGGCGCCGGGUAAGUGCCUCUCUCCCCAACCCUGGAUGGAGGUGGCGGCGUAGAGACCAUUCUGACCGCGAGCCGGGGCGGGGCGUGGGCGGGAGCGCGCCUCGUUAUGCAGAUGAGCCGGCCUCUGGUUGGCUGAAGGCGCGCCGGCGGGGGCGGGGCCGGGGCGCGGCGACGGAGCGCUAG
rnacentral:lncRNA from 1 species